rnacentral:rRNA from 1 species
UUUGAGCGUGUCUCCCUUCUCGGGGAACACUCUCGACCUCACAAACCCUUGACCUCAAAUCGGGUUGAGACUACCCGCUGAACUUAAGCAUAUCAAUAGCGGG